AUGAACGCUGGCGGCGUGCCUAAUACAUGCAAGUCGAGCGAACAGACGAGGAGCUUACUCCUCUGACGUUAGCGGCGGACGGGUGAGUAACACGUGGAUAACCUACCUAUAAGACUGGGAUAACUUCGGGAAACCGGAGCUAAUACGGGAUAACAUGUUAAACCGCUGGGUUCACAAGGAAAAAAGGGCUUUGUUGUAACUUAUGAAUGGUCCCCCGCGCCAUAAGCAAGUUGGUAAGUAAAGGGCUUACCAAGCAAAGGAUGGUAAGCCGACCUGAAGGGGGGAUCGGCCACCCGGAACUGAGACACGGUCCAGACUCCUACGGGAGGCAGCAGUAGGGAAUCUUCCGCAAUGGGCGAAAGCCUGACGGAGCAACGCCGCGUGAGUGAAGAAGGUCUUCGGAUCGUAAAACUCUGUUAUUAGGGAAGAACAAAUGUGUAAGUAACUAUGCACGUCUUGACGGUACCUAAUCAGAAAGCCACGGCUAACUACGUG
rnacentral:rRNA from 1 species